rnacentral:rRNA from 1 species
CUACGGGAGGCAGCAGUGGGGAAUCUUGCGCAAUGGCCGAAAGGCUGACGCAGCGACGCCGCGUGGAGGAUGACGCCCUUCGGGGUGUAAACUCCUGUUGCCCGGGACGAAUACCUGUUUCGACAGGGGUGACGGUACCGGGUGAGGAAGCACCGGCUAACUCUGUGCCAGCAGCCGCGGUAAUACAGAGGGUGCGAGCGUUGUCCGGAAUCACUGGGCGUAAAGGGCGCGUAGGUGGCGCGGUAAGCGUGUGGUGAAAGUCCGGGGCUCAACCCCGGAUCGGCCAUGCGAACUGCCGCGCUGGAGCACGGUAGAGGCACAUGGAAUUCCGGGUGUAGCGGUGGAAUGCGUAGAGAUCCGGAAGAACACCGGUGGCGAAGGCGGUGUGCUGGGCCGUUGCUGACACUGAGGCGCGACAGCGUGGGGAGCAAACAGGAUUAGAUACCUGGUAGUCC